UUAAAUUGAAGAGUUUGAUCAUGGCUCAGAUUGAACGCUGGCGGCAGGCCUAACACAUGCAAGUCGAACGGUAACAGGAAUCAGCUUGCUGAUUCGCUGACGAGUGGCGGACGGGUGAGUAAUGUCUGGGAAACUGCCUGAUGGAGGGGGAUAACUACUGGAAACGGUAGCUAAUACCGCAUAACGUCGCAAGACCAAAGAGGGGGACCUUCGGGCCUCUUGCCAUCGGAUGUGCCCAGAUGGGAUUAGCUAGUAGGUGGGGUAACGGCUCACCUAGGCGACGAUCCCUAGCUGGUCUGAGAGGAUGACCAGCCACACUGGAACUGAGACACGGUCCAGACUCCUACGGGAGGCAGCAGUGGGGAAUAUUGCACAAUGGGCGCAAGCCUGAUGCAGCCAUGCCGCGUGUAUGAAGAAGGCCUUCGGGUUGUAAAGUACUUUCAGCGGGGAGGAAGGGAGUAAAGUUAAUACCUUUGCUCAUUGACGUUACCCGCAGAAGAAGCACCGGCUAACUCCGUGCCAGCAGCCGCGGUAAUACGGAGGGUGCAAGCGUUAAUCGGAAUUACUGGGCGUAAAGCGCACGCAGGCGGUUUGUUAAGUCAGAUGUGAAAUCCCCGGGCUCAACCUGGGAACUGCAUCUGAUACUGGCAAGCUUGAGUCUCGUAGAGGGGGGUAGAAUUCCAGGUGUAGCGGUGAAAUGCGUAGAGAUCUGGAGGAAUACCGGUGGCGAAGGCGGCCCCUGGACGAAGACUGACGCUCAGGUGCGAAAGCGUGGGGAGCAAACAGGAUUAGAUACCCUGGUAGUCCACGCCGUAAACGAUGUCGACUUGGAGGUUGUGCCCUUGAGGCGUGGCUUCCGGAGCUAACGCGUUAAGUCGACCGCCUGGGGAGUACGGCCGCAAGGUUAAAACUCAAAUGAAUUGACGGGGGCCCGCACAAGCGGUGGAGCAUGUGGUUUAAUUCGAUGCAACGCGAAGAACCUUACCUGGUCUUGACAUCCACGGAAGUUUUCAGAGAUGAGAAUGUGCCUUCGGGAACCGUGAGACAGGUGCUGCAUGGCUGUCGUCAGCUCGUGUUGUGAAAUGUUGGGUUAAGUCCCGCAACGAGCGCAACCCUUAUCCUUUGUUGCCAGCGGUCCGGCCGGGAACUCAAAGGAGACUGCCAGUGAUAAACUGGAGGAAGGUGGGGAUGACGUCAAGUCAUCAUGGCCCUUACGACCAGGGCUACACACGUGCUACAAUGGCGCAUACAAAGAGAAGCGACCUCGCGAGAGCAAGCGGACCUCAUAAAGUGCGUCGUAGUCCGGAUUGGAGUCUGCAACUCGACUCCAUGAAGUCGGAAUCGCUAGUAAUCGUGGAUCAGAAUGCCACGGUGAAUACGUUCCCGGGCCUUGUACACACCGCCCGUCACACCAUGGGAGUGGGUUGCAAAAGAAGUAGGUAGCUUAACCUUCGGGAGGGCGCUUACCACUUUGUGAUUCAUGACUGGGGUGAAGUCGUAACAAGGUAACCGUAGGGGAACCUGCGGUUGGAUCACCUCCUUACCUUAAAGAA
rnacentral:rRNA from 1 species